AAGAGAUGUGUGAUGACGCAUAUCAAUAAGCGGAGGAAAAGAAACUAACAAGGAUUCUCUUAGUAACGGCGAGUGAAGCGGGAAGAGCUCAAAUUUGAAAUCUUCAAGGUUCUACCUUGACGAAUUGUAGUUUAUAGAAGUGUUUUCUGUUAGUAGAGUGGCAAAAGUUCUUUGGAAUAGGACAUCAUAGAGGGUGAGAAUCCCGUAUUUGGUCAUUCUUUCUAGCUUUGCUGAUACACUUUCAACGAGUCGGAUUGUUUGGGAAUGCAGUCCAAAAUGGGUGGUAAAUUUCAUCUAAAGCUAAAUAUUGGCGAGAGACCGAUAGCGAACAAGUACCGUGAGGGAAAGAUGAAAAGAACUUUGAAAAGAGAGUUAAACAGUACGUGAAAUUGUCAAAAGGGAAGCGUUUGACACCAGUGUUGUUUUUCCGAAAAUCAAUUACGAAUGUUUUAUUUUUGAAGAGUUAUGACUUCAUCGGCUUGCUUCCUUUCUUUACUGAAACUUUCUUAAUGCACUUUUCGGUUAACAAGUCAACAUCAAUUUCUUUUGUUGUAAAAGGAGUACUGAGGAAGGUGGCUUUCUUUUCGGAGAAAGUGUUUAUAGCCUUGUACCUCUGCAAUCGGAGAGAUUGAGGUCUGCAGCGUAGAUCCUUCGGGGUUAGAUACAUUUGUGCUAAGUUAUAGCUUUUCAUAGACAACUUGUUGAUUAUGUUAAGUCUUGUAGCUUACUCGCUUAUGCUAUUUUACCUACGCUUAGGAUGUUGACAGCAGUAUAGACUGU
rnacentral:rRNA from 1 species